rnacentral:rRNA from 1 species
AUUGAACGCUGGCGGCAUGCCUUACACAUGCAAGUCGAACGGCAGCACGGGAGCAAUCCUGGUGGCGAGUGGCGAACGGGUGAGUAAUAUAUCGGAACGUGCCCAGUCGUGGGGGAUAACGCAGCGAAAGCUGUGCUAAUACCGCAUACGAUCUAAGGAUGAAAGCGGGGGAUCGCAAGACCUCGCGCGAUUGGAGCGGCCGAUAUCAGAUUAGCUAGUUGGUGGGGUAAAGGCCCACCAAGGCGACGAUCUGUAGCUGGUCUGAGAGGACGAACAGCCACACUGGAACUGAGACAAGGUCCAGACUCCUACGGGAGGCAGCAGUGGGGAAUUUUGGACAAUGGGCGCGAGCCUGAUCCAGCAAUGCCGCGUGCAGGAUGAAGGCCUUCGGGUUGUAAACUGCUUUUGUACGGAACGAAACGGCCCUUUCUAAUACAGGGGGCUAAUGACGGUACCGUAAGAAUAAGCACCGGCUAACUACGUGCCAGCCGCCGCCGUAA